AUGCUCCGUUGGAGCACAUGCGACCCCCUGCGAUGCUCCAUCGCAGCACUAGCUCUGCUCCACGCUCGCCACCAUAUGCAGCAGUUGUCGACGUUGCCGACCAAGCGACCACCGUAUGCAGCACCGGCGCCCCGAUGCUCAUGGCAGCACCGACGCGACCGACAAAGCUCCGUUGCAGCCUCCGGUGGAGCUCCAACGCAGCACCGACGGCUCCGCCAGAGCUCCAAUGCAACUCCGCGCGAGGCUCCAUUGCAGCCCGGGAGGAGCUCCAACGCAGCACCGGCGGCUCCGCGAAGCUCCAAUACAACUCGGGCGAAGCUCCAUUGCAGCCCGGGAGGAGCUCCAACACAACACCGGCGGCUCCGUGAUGCUCCAAUACAACUCCGGCGAAGCUUCACUGCAGCCCGAGAGGAGCUCCAACGCAGCACUGGCACCUCCUAG
rnacentral:rRNA from 1 species